rnacentral:RNase_P_RNA from 1 species
CAAGUGGGCUGAACGGUCGCGGUGCGGUUUUAUCCGUAUCGAGGAAAGUCCGGGCUCCACAGGGCAGGACGCUUCGUAACACGAAGGCGGAGUGAUCCGACGGAAAGUGGCACAGAAAAUACACAGCCUGUUUCGGCAGGUAACGGUGAAAAGGUGCGGUAAGAGCGCACCAGCGUUUGCGGUGACGCAACGGCUCGCUAAACCCCGUCCGGAGCAAAUCCAAAUAGGGAACCAAUGGCGUUGCCCACGCCGGUUCCGGGUAGGAUGCUUGAGACCUGCGGUGACGUUGGUCCUAGAUGAAUGACCGUUCAGGAGCGUUUCGACGCUCCGGACAGAACCCGGCUUAUAGGCCCACUUGCUUA